ensembl:lncRNA
AUGAAUUUACUCUUGGGCACAUGUCUUGGAUUGCUGUUCAACUUUGUUGAUUUUAAUACAGGUGCUGAUAUGAUUGUAGAAAAAAAGAAAGUCUUCCUUGGAGGGCACGUGAGUUUGAUGUGUCUUAAUCUGUUGACACAGACAGACUGCAGUAAAGUUACAUGGCUGUCUAAUGAUGACCCUACCAUUGAGUUGGUCACCCUUGGUAAACUCAAUCCGGACAGGUCACAGAGAGAAGGCAGAGUGCGUCUGAUGUCUGACUGUUCUCUACACAUCAGUGAACUCAAAGCUGGAGAUAAUGGAUGCUACACUUGCCGUCAGUAUUCAGGUGUGCAAGAAAGCAAAAUUGGAGAGGAUGCCAGAAUUUGCCUGAUUAUUAAUAAAACUGCUACUUCCAUGAACAAUAAAGACAGCACUGAUGACAGAGAAGACCUGUUAAUGAUAAUAAUCCCAUCAGUGCUCAUUGUCAGUGCUUUGUCAUUGACUGCACUCAUCAUUUGGCUCAGAUAUCACAGGAGUACACAAAGUGAGUCACGGUUACCUUACGGUCUCAUUCUUUACAACUGUGCUGUUUCUUACCAAAAUCAAAAAACUUACCAAAUCUUCAACCCUGAAAAUGUGCUCUUUCUUGUUUUCUUUUAGUGAGAACAUCAUUUGAAAAUCAAAAUGUAUUGGAAUUGGAAACCAAAAUAACUGAACGUGAACACAAGAAUGUGGGUAAAAUGUCAAUUGGAUAUAGCAUGUACAUAUUGAUUUACUGGUGCGUUGCUUUACUCAGCUUACAGAAUUCUGUUCUUAUUACUUGAACAGGGUGAAGAUGUGAACUACAUUGAGUUAAACUACAAUGUAAUGAAACCAAGGAAAGUGGACAUAGACAAAGUAGUGGACACUGACCAAAAAACUGAAUAUGCUGUUGUAAAAUUUUGCUAAUCGCUGUAAACAUGUUACGCUAAAUAAUUCCUCAGUUGUACAGCAUAAAAUAAGUUGAUUUCAUCGACUGCAUGAGUUAUGUGUGUAAGCACUUCAUCACAGGUUAUGAUUCCCAUUAGGUCAUUGUCUGUAUUUAGUCACUGGAUACUCACAAGUCACAAGUUUAUUGAACUUCUCUCUCUGUCUCUCUCUCUUGUGUAUCCUUUGUCACAACCAUUUUUCCAUUUGUUUGUUUCUCAUUUGUUUACAUUAUGUGCUUCAUUAAUUUAACAUAAACUAUUUUCUGCCUCAUUCUUAACUUCUGUAAAAGAACGUUACAAUUGCACAAAUCAACAGUCAAAUUAAUUCAAACAGUUUUCUUUUUUCAUCUUGACUGGCACAAACUCGACAAGAAACAGAGGACCAAAAACCUGUAAAAGACGGAUUUGUAAAAUAUAUGAAACAGGAGAAAGAAACACAACACAUUAAUGAGUGUUAAAUGUAGUAUGUAAGGGUUAUUGAUGAGGGGACAAUUAAAUGCUAAUAAAGUUGCAAACCACCAUGAGGGGUGUCA